GGUAAGAUGGCCGAAGUAGGUGCUGAGUUGUAGCCUCAAUUAUAAAGGUGUAGUCCUUUUCUUGCCA
rnacentral:tRNA from 1 species